rnacentral:rRNA from 1 species
UAGGGAAUAUUAGUAAUGGGCGAAAGCCUGAACUAGCAACGCCGCGUGUGCGAAGAAGGCCUUCGGGUUGUAAAGCACUUUUUGAGAGGAUGAGGAAGGACGGUACUCUCAGAAUAAGUCUCGGCUAACUACGUGCCAGCAGCCGCGGUAACACGUAGGAGGCGAACGUUAUCCGGAUUUACUGGGCGUAAAGCGCGUGUAGGUGGUUUGGUAAGUAGGGCGUGAAAGCUCCUGGCUCAACUGGGAGAGGCCGUUCUAAACUGCCGAACUAGAGGAUGGUA